AUUGAACGCUGGCGGCAGGCCUAACACAUGCAAGUCGAACGAGCGGCGGACGGGUGAGUAAUGUUUGGGAAUCUGGCUUAUGGAGGGGGAUAACGACGGGAAACGGUCGCUAAUACCGCGUACCAUCGGAUGAGCCCAUGUGGGAUUAGGUGGUGGGUGGGGGAAUGGCUUACCAAGCCGACGCUCUCUAGCUGGUCUGAGAGGAUGAUCAGCCACACCGGGACUGAGACACGGCCCGGACUCCUACGGGAGGCAGCAGUGGGGAAUAUGGCGCAAUGGGGGCAACCCUGACGCAGCCAUGCCGCGUGUAUGAAGAAGGCCUUCGGGUUGUAAAGCACUUUCAGCAGUGAGGCGUUACCCGCAGAAGAAGCACCGGCUAACUCCGUGCCAGCAGCCGCGGUAAUUC
rnacentral:rRNA from 1 species